GCUCCACAAGUGCAUGCAGAACUGGCCACGCGAUUUAGUAGUUUGAGAUGUUCCGGUGUACAUACGUGACCCAAUCUCAUUCGAAUUAACAUACUAGUUGCAGGUUUUGGCAGAGAGAUUUUAGCAAACCAAGGAUUCCAAAGCACUCACCACUGUACACAGAGGAUUCAGGUGGCAAUUUUAUUUUUUGGUAAAUAUUAGAUUGGGUGUGGAGAACAGCAAUGCCAACACAACCAUUCUCUGAUGUCUUAGAAGCAUCUGUGUACAUAUGUUGAGCACCCAGGCCAUUCGUUCCAACGAAUCCCAGGAAUUGUUGAUUUUGUUCAACAUCAUUCUUGGAGACACCAAUAUCAAGGAGAACCGGAGGAACAAGUGUUAGAGAAUCAUAUUCAUAUUGGAAAAUGGGAAGCGUUGAAGAGCUAACAGUGGGAGCUGAUAUAGACUUAAGUUUUUGAAAGCUUUUAAUUAAAAAAGGGGGACUCUUGUGUUUCCAAUAGUUGGAAGUAGUUAUUUGAACCAGAAGAUUAGACAGGAUAAUCCAGAGUUGGUGAUUAGAGAAUUGGGAACAACGGAAAAUAAAUCUAUCACAAAGAUAUUGGCGUCGUAAAUGAAGUGGAGGCUCAGCACACUCAACUUGCAUAGCAUUGAUAGGGCUUGAUUUCAUGGCUCCACAAAUCAAUCUGAGUGCUUUGGAUUGAAUACGAUCUAGUUUUUGGAAACCAGCUACAUAUCCUGGCUCUAACAAAAAUGUCCCAUAAUCUAAAAUACUUCUUAUCAAGGCAUUAUACAUGAGUUUCAUGCAAAAAGGAUGCGAACCCCACCAAACUCCUGAGACGCACCUGAGGAUA